rnacentral:snoRNA from 1 species
AAGACUAUACUUUCAGGGAUCAUUUCUAUAGUUUGUUACUAGAAUAACAGCUUAGACACUUGAAGCCAUUGAGAAAAUCGAAAUAAAGCACAGAUGUGGAGUGAGUAGCUGGCAGGCCUUGUGCUCCUGGAUGUGGGGUUGAGGGCUGUCUGAGGUGG